rnacentral:rRNA from 1 species
CCUACGGGAGGCAGCAGUAAGGAAUAUUGGACAAUGCUCGCAAGAGUGAUCCAGCCAUGCCGCGUGCAGGAAGGAUGCCCUAUGGGUAGUAAACUGCUUUUGAACUAGAGAAAAUCCCAGUACGUGUACUGGGCUGAUAGUAUAGUUAGAAUAAGCAUCGGCUAACUUCGUGCCAGCAGCCGCGGUAAGACGAAGGAUGCAAGCGUUAUCCGGAUUCAUUGGGUUUAAAGGGAGCGUAGGUGGACUGAUAAGUCAGUGGUGAAAUCUCCGAGCUUAACUCGGAAAUUGCCAUUGAUACUGUUGGUCUUGAGUACAGUUGCUGUGGGCGGAAUAUGACAUGUAGUGGUGAAAUACAUAGAGAUGUCAUAGAACACCGAUUGCGAAGGCAGCUCACAAAGCUGUAACUGACACUGAGGCUCGAAAGUGCGGGGAUCAAACAGGAUUAGAUACCCUGGUAGUCCGCACCGUAAACGAUGAUUACUCGCUGNGUAGGGCGACGUUAGUGNGUAGNGAAGAGAGUUAAGUUAAUACACGUUGGUAGGACGCGGCGACGGAGACGACGAAGAGAGUUAGAGGCGNGAGACGNGCGACGGACGACGACGACGGGAGGUUAAGGAAG